rnacentral:rRNA from 1 species
UACGUAGGGGGCAAGCGUUAUCCGGAUUUACUGGGCGUAAAGCGGGUGUAGGCGGCCUGUCAAGUCAGAUGUGAAAUCUCCUGGCUCAACUGGGAGGGUGCAUUUGAUACUGAUGGGCUAGAGUGCAGCAGAAGAAGAUGGAAUUCCCGGUGUAGUGGUGAAAUGCGUAGAUAUCGGGAAGAACACUAGUGGCGAAGGCGGUCUUCCGGGCUGUAACUGACGCUGAGACCCGAAGGCGUGGGGAG